UACAGAGGGGGCAAGCGUUAUUCGGAAUUAUUGGGCGUAAAGGGCGCGUAGGCGGCCUGGCAAGUGGAAGGUGAAAUCCCUCGGCUUAACCGAGGAACUGCCCUCCAAACUGCUUGGCUUGAGUCCGGGAGAGGUGAGUGGAAUUCCCAGUGUAGCGGUGAAAUGCGUAGAUAUCAGGAGGAACACCAAUGGCGAAGGCAGCUCGCUGGGACGGUACUGACGCUGAGACGCGAAAGCGUGGGGAGCAAACAGG
rnacentral:rRNA from 1 species